CGUCUGUCUGUGUCUGUUUCUAUGUCCCGCCCCCCGGUGUCGCUGCCCAUUGUCUGCAUCGUUCAAAAUGCUACAUUCUAGAGUGUUAGUUUUGAAUGAUGCAGCC